CUCCUGGAAACGGGUGGUAAUGCCGGAUGCUCCAGUUGAUCGCAUGGUCUUCUGGGAAAGCUUUCGCGGUAUGGGAUGGGGUCGCGUCCUAUCAGCUUGACGGCGGGGUAACGGCCCACCGUGGCUUCGACGGGUAGCCGGCCUGAGAGGGCGACCGGCCACAUUGGGACUGAGAUACGGCCCAGACUCCUACGGGAGGCAGCAGUGGGGAAUAUUGCACAAUGGGCGCAAGCCUGAUGCAGCGACGCCGCGUGAGGGAUGGAGGCCUUCGGGUUGUAAACCUCUUUUAUCGGGGAGCAAGCGUGAGUGAGUUUACCCGUUGAAUAAGCACCGGCUAACUACGUGCCAGCAGCCGCGGUAAUACGUAGGGUGCAAGCGUUAUCCGGAAUUAUUGGGCGUAAAGGGCUCGUAGGCGGUUCGUCGCGUCCGGUGUGAAAGUCCAUCGCUUAACGGUGGAUCCGCGCCGGGUACGGGCGGGCUUGAGUGCGGUAGGGGAGACUGGAAUUCCCGGUGUAACGGUGGAAUGUGUAGAUAUC
rnacentral:rRNA from 1 species